CGGACGGGUGAGUAACGCGUGGGUAACCCUGCCUUACACAGGGGGAUAACACCUGGAAAUAGGUGCUAAUACCGCAUAAGCGCACAGUCUCGCAUGAGACGGUGUGAAAAACUCCGGUGGUAUACGAUGGAUCCGCGUCUGAUUAGCUUGUUGGCGGGGUAACAGCCCACCAAGGCGACGAUCAGUAGCCGCCUGAGAGGGUGAACGGCCACAUUGGGACUGAGACACGGCCCAAACUCCUACGGAAGGCAGCAG
rnacentral:rRNA from 1 species